CCUAGUAUCCUAGCACAACUCUCCUCUGUCAUGAGCACAGCGCUGGCAAGGGUUACACCUUUGCCACCUACAGUGACGGUGGUGAGACAGCAGCCAGCAGGAAGGGAUGUGGUGUUCUUGCUGGAUGGAUCUGACGGCACCAGAACUGGCUUCCCAGCAAUGCGAGACUUUGUCCAAAGGGUAGUAGAGACACUCAGUGUAGAUGACAACAAAGA